UACGGAGGGUGCAAGCGUUAUCCGGAUUCACUGGGUUUAAAGGGUGCGUAGGUGGGUUGGUAAGUCCGUGGUGAAAUCUCCGAGCUUAACUCGGAAACUGCCGUGGAUACUAUCAAUCUUGAAUACUGUGGAGGUAAGCGGAAUAUGUCAUGUAGCGGUGAAAUGCUUAGAUAUGACAUAGAACACCGAUAGCGGAGGCAGCUUGCUACACAGUCAUUGACGCUGAGGAGCGAAAGCGUGGGGAGCGAACAGG
rnacentral:rRNA from 1 species